rnacentral:rRNA from 2 species
UACGGGGGGAGCAAGCGUUGUUCGGAUUUACUGGGCGUAAAGGGCGCGUAGGCGGCCAGCGCAAGUCAGUUGUGAAAUCUCCGGGCUUAACUCGGAACGGUCAACUGAUACUGCGCGGCUAGAGUGCGGAAGGGGCAACUGGAAUUCUCGGUGUAGCGGUGAAAUGCGUAGAUAUCGAGAGGAACACCUGCGGCGAAGGCGGGUUGCUGGGCCGACACUGACGCUGAUGCGCGAAAGCCAGGGGAGCGAACGGG